rnacentral:rRNA from 1 species
AUACGGAGGAUGCGAGCGUUAUCCGGAUUUAUUGGGUUUAAAGGGUGCGUAGGCUGUGCGUUAAGUCAGGGGUGAAAUGCCGUCGCUCAACGACGGAGCUGCCCUUGAUACUGGCGUGCUGGAGUACGGAUGCCGUUGGUGGAAUGAGUGGUGUAGCGGUGAAAUGCUUAGAUAUCACUCAGAACACCGAUUGCGAAGGCAUCUGACGAAUCCGUCACUGACGCUGAGGCACGAAAGCGUGGGGAUAGAACAGGAUUAGAUACCCUGGUAUUCCACGCCGUAAACGAUGAUGACUAACCGUCGGCGAUAGACAGCCGGUGGCCAAGCGAAAGCGAUAAGUCAUCCACCUGGGGAGUACGUCGGCAACGAUGAAACUCAAAGGAAUUGACGGGG